rnacentral:rRNA from 1 species
GCAGUGCGGCGUGCUAAUACAUGCAAGUCGAGCGGACAGAUGGGAGCUUGCUCCCUGAUGUUAGCGGCGGACGGGUGAGUAACACGUGGGUAACCUGCCUGUAAGACUGGGAUAACUCCGGGAAACCGGGGCUAAUACCGGAUGGUUGUUUGAACCGCAUGGUUCAGACAUAAAAGGUGGCUUCGGCUACCACUUACAGAUGGACCCGCGGCGCAUUAGCUAGUUGGUGAGGUAACGGCUCACCAAGGCGACGAUGCGUAGCCGACCUGAGAGGGUGAUCGGCCACACUGGGACUGAGACACGGCCCAGACUCCUACGGGAGGCAGCAGUAGGGAAUCUUCCGCAAUGGACGAAAGUCUGACGGAGCAACGCCGCGUGAGUGAUGAAGGUUUUCGGAUCGUAAAGCUCUGUUGUUAGGGAAGAACAAGUGCCGUUCAAAUAGGGCGGCACCUUGACGGUACCUAACCAGAAAGCCACGGCUAACUACGUGCCAGCAGCCGCGGUAAUACGUAGGUGGCAAGCGUUGUCCGGAAUUAUUGGGCGUAAAGGGCUCGCAGGCGGUUUCUUAAGUCUGAUGUGAAAGCCCCCGGCUCAACCGGGGAGGGUCAUUGGAAACUGGGGAACUUGAGUGCAGAAGAGGAGAGUGGAAUUCCACGUGUAGCGGUGAAAUGCGUAGAGAUGUGGAGGAACACCAGUGGCGAAGGCGACUCUCUGGUCUGUAACUGACGCUGAGGAGCGAAAGCGUGGGGAGCGAACAGGAUUAGAUACCCUAGUAGUCCAA